rfam:Culex pipiens quinquefasciatus supercont3.594 genomic scaffold, whole genome shotgun sequence.
ACAACAGUCCUUUUCAGGACUACCAAACCAAUCACGAAAGAGUUA